GAUAAUGUCCUUUGAGCCAGUCUCCUGAGCAUGUUUCAGGAAUCCAGAGCUAUGACCUAUCAGCUGCUUCUUUGUGAUCCGGUGAGUGAAUCCUGCCAUGUGGUGUCUGUGAGAGCACCAGAGAAACAGAAACUCACAUUUUUGGAUCUCUGCUGCCAUUUUUGAGACUUCCUUCAUGUGAACCACGUGGUGCCUGACACGCCAGUGUUGGGCAGUUUGGAGGGCUGCUGGAGGAGUAGGCUGUGUGUUGGGGACUUGGAUAGUACAGAACCUUGGAUUGGGCCCAUCGUACCCAGAAGAAGUUACCCUUAUGCCAUGGAGGAGACAGCAACAGCCAUGACCCAACCAGUGCAGAAAUCUGAGAAAUUCAAGUAUCAUUCCCAUCUUACUGUGGCCUUUGUUUUCCUACUAGCCCUCAUGCUGGCCUUUUUUGCCUAUGCUGUCCUGAUCCUGGGAAAGCAGAAGCAGAUAUAGACUCUGGCCAAGGACAGCAUAGCAGUUAGAGAACCACUUCCUGAAAAUAGUGAAUGUGCCCAGGAUGUUGUAUUAUCCAUCGAAAUUAAUUGUUCCCAGCAGGGCAAACAUCGCCAUACAGACUCCCUGGCUGGCUCCCAUUGUGUGGGACAGGACUUUCCAAAUUGGAAUCUUGAACCAGCAAUUCUGGCUCCAGAAUGUCUCCAUUGGGUUAGUUGUGUUCACCACAGGAGCAUGCAUAGCCUUCCUAAAAGUGCUCCUGCAAACCUCUGAGACAUACUUCAUGCAGGGACACCGAGUAAAGUACUACCCUUUCAAUGGCCAGCCAGCUAGCCUUCCAACCUUGAAGCCCUGUAAGGGGAGGCAGAUGGUAAUUCUGGAAAUUCAGGCUUCUGCCCAUCAGCUGGACACUUAUGUGUGCAGAGUGGAGAUGAUCAGCCAUCUUUCCCAGCAUCACUUUGUGAAGGAGGUGGACUACCUGGUCUGUGUCUGUGUGAACAUCAUCUUCUGCCACACUGUGGGUGUGAAGGUCCUGUCCUCCCUGUUUGACACACUGCAUCCUCUCGUCUUUGGACUCCCGAGAAAAUCCUUGGCCUAUGAAAGGCAGCCUCAGCCACAAGCCUACAUUUCUGAGGAUGAGGGAGCCUUCUUUGGGGGAAAGGUACUGGAGAUUUACAGGCUCACCAAGUUCCAUUACCAGGCUGUGAUGAUGGACCAAGCUCAUUACAUCGAAGUGAUGAAAGCUACUUGAACUGUCUCCUUUACCACAAGCCCACUAAGGUCCUCUCUCCUGGGUGUGUGCAGCAUAAACAACUAAUGGGGAAAUGCUUGUGGGAGUCAGCAACCAUCCCUGGGCUGACCCUAACCAAGACUCCAGAGAGACCUCAGACAGCGUCAGUUGCAGGGAUGUCCAGUCUUUUCGAGUGCUGCCCAAGGUCAUGACCACGUUUUACUAGUGGCACACCCACCAUCUGGAUGGUAAAAAGAUCAAUACGCUUCCAUGUUGAGUCCCUUUGAAAAUAAACUGUUGACGUAA